GGUGCUUGCACCUGGUGGCGAGUGGCGAACGGGUGAGUAAUACAUCGGAACAUGUCCUGUAGUGGGGGAUAGCCCGGCGAAAGCCGGAUUAAUACCGCAUACGAUCUACGGAUGAAAGCGGGGGACCUUCGGGCCUCGCGCUAUAGGGUUGGCCGAUGGCUGAUUAGCUAGUUGGUGGGGUAAAGGCCUACCAAGGCGACGAUCAGUAGCUGGUCUGAGAGGACGACCAGCCACACUGGGACUGAGACACGGCCCAGACUCCUACGGGAGGCAGCAGUGGGGAAUUUUGGACAAUGGGCGAAAGCCUGAUCCAGCAAUGCCGCGUGUGUGAAGAAGGCCUUCGGGUUGUAAAGCACUUUUGUCCGGAAAGAAAUCCUUGGUUCUAAUAUAGCCGGGGGAUGACGGUACCGGAAGAAUAAGCACCGGCUAACUACGUGCCAGCAGCCGCGGUAAUACGUAGGGUGCGAGCGUUAAUCGGAAUUACUGGGCGUAAAGCGUGCGCAGGCGGUUUGCUAAGACCGAUGUGAAAUCCCCGGGCUCAACCUGGGAACUGCAUUGGUGACUGGCAGGCUAGAGUAUGGCAGAGGGGGGUAGAAUUCCACGUAUAGCAGUGAAAUGCGUAGAGAUGUGGAGGAAUACCGAUGGCGAAGGCAGCCCCCUGGGCCAAUACCGACGCUCAUGCACGAAAGCGUGGGGAGCAAAC
rnacentral:rRNA from 1 species